AUACGUAGGGUGCAAGCGUUAAUCGGAAUUACUGGGCGUAAAGCGUGCGCAGGCGGUUCGGAAAGAAAGAUGUGAAAUCCCAGAGCUUAACUUUGGAACUGCAUUUUUAACUACCGGGCUAGAGUGUGUCAGAGGGAGGUGGAAUUCCGCGUGUAGCAGUGAAAUGCGUAGAUAUGCGGAGGAACACCGAUGGCGAAGGCAGCCUCCUGGGAUAACACUGACGCUCAUGCACGAAAGCGUGGGGAGCAAACAGGAUUAGAUACCCUGGUAGUCCACGCCCUAAACGAUGUCAACUAGCUGUUGGGGUCUUCGGGCCUUGGUAGCGCAGCUAACGCGUGAAGUUGACCGCCUGGGGAGUACGGUCGCAAGAUUAAA
rnacentral:rRNA from 1 species